rnacentral:lncRNA from 1 species
UUCCAUACCCUUCCGUAUAUUGUUGUUUCCUGUACUGCAGCUUGAAUGUGAAGAUUCACUUUUGCAAACAUGAACUAUACCCAUCUCUGCUACGAGCAGACAGACAUGGCGACGUGCCGAGGCAACCUUUGCUGCUGUGGCAACAAAGACAGGGUAGGACUGAAUAACAAUUAAACGUACAUGAGUGUAUUGACUACCUAGUAAAGCAGAAUUCAAACAAGACAAACCAGGUAUAUAAUACAAUUUGCUUGCCCAUAUCGAUGUGUCAACAAAUUUUCAAAUCUGUAACAUAGUCUAAAACUGUUCAACAAUCUAGCGAAAGAUAGAUACAGAAUCACCUAAAUAGAAAAGCAUAUAAUGCAGGGCCCAAUACAAUUACACAGAAAAGAAACUCCAAACAAUCACCUUAAUCCUUGCUGAUUUUUGGACAGCAGAACAACAACUAUUCGUUUAGCUCAUAACUCACAAGAUAUUCAUGCAAAAAUAGUAAACUAGGACUUUAUAAAAAGCUUAUAAAGUCUUCUACAUCUUUUGUAUUACAAUCAGAACAAGGUUCGACCUUUAGAAAGGUCAAACAGUGCUAAACAUAAAUUCUGUCCAGAUUUGGACAGAAUUCGACUACUUACUUCAAAAAUCCAUAACUGGAGUUUCAGGCAUCCAAAUCAGGUGAUCCUAGACUUUUUAGAAAGCUAAUAUAAUUGUCUACAAUUCAUUUAUAAACAUCCCAGGUUAAUUCAAUAUAUAUCAAGGUCAGAAAACAUGAGAAAGACUCUGCUGUUCAAAUUUGGACAGAUUCAGAGAUCACACUUCAAACAGCUGUCACUUAACUUAUAGAUCACCAAAAAGGGUGAUCCAAGACUUUUUGGAAAGCUUAAAAAAGUACUACAAUUAUUCUAUAAUUACUAAGGGUUGAUUCUCAGUUUAGCUUAGCCAAACAGUACAAUUUUUGAAACCUGUACAGAAUUUGGACAGAUUCUAAAACAGGACUUAAGAAAAUCAUAACUCCUAAACUACUAAACCUAUGAUCAUGAAAUUUUUACACAAGUAAGAUAAAGAAGUUACCUACAACUUUUCUAUAUAACAUUUCUACAGAAAACAUGGUUUACUUCAUUGAACUAGCUCCUUACGAAACUGGACAUGCAGUCCCAAACAGCAAGCGUUCCAUUUAGCUCCUAUUUGGUUUUUACAAUUAUCAUGUGCUUGACACUUUCUAAUCGCAUAUAUAGAUUUCUGCUAUUUUAUAACCAUGAAUCCAUUUACUUCACAUAAUCUAGUAUUUUGAACCUACUCUGACAUUAUGCAAACAAAGAAUCAAUUUAAGUACACUAUGCAUACACAUAUAUUCAUCCAAGCACAUUCCAUACAAUAUCAUCACCAAGAACUCAUUUUUAUUACACUAUGCAUAUAAAGUCGCUCUCUCUAUUCACCAAAUAUAUGACAUACAACAUACCAUCACAAGGACAAAAGAGAAAAGAGAGAAACAAGCAUUCCCUGACAACAACCCAUAUUCGCCUAGAACCUUUGAUUAAUCAACAUGAUAGAAGAUAAUGAUGACUAAGACUGAUCUUCAGCUUCAUAAAAUAAUUGGCUAAUUUACUUGCAAUAACACUACCUCCCUUGUGCAGUCCUCGGCACAACACUACACUAUAUGCCUAUCAAGAGUAUUCAUCCCAUAAUCAUGUAAUAACCCAUCUAAUAUUAUAUCAAAUCAUACAUCUACCUAUCAAACACGCAUAUAACCAUAUUACGACAUAUAAGGAGUCAUUUCAUCAGAAAUUCAUAUCGAAGCUAAUCCUAACAACACUCCGAAACAUAAAAGACAUACCACUUAAUUCAAACAAGACAAACCAGGUAUAUAAUACAAUUUGCUUGCCCAUAUCGAUGUGUCAAUAAAUUUUUAAAUCUGUAACAUAGUCUAAAACUGUUCAACAAUCUAGCGAAAGAUAGAUACAGAAUCACCUAAAUAGAAAAGCAUAUAAUGCAGGGCCCAAUACAAUUACACAGAAAAGAAACUCCAAACAAUCACCUUAAUCCUUGCUGAUUUUUGGACAGCAGAACAACAACUAUUCGUUUAGCUCAUAACUCACAAGAUAUUCAUGCAAAAAUAGUAAACUAGGACUUUAUGGAAAGCUUAUAAAGUCUUCUACAUCUUUUGUAUUACAAUCAGAACAAGAUUCGACCUUUAGAAAGGUUAAACAGUGCUAAACAUAAAUUCUGUCCAGAUUUGGACAGAAUUCGACUACUUACUUCAAAAAUCCAUAACUGGAGUUUCAGGCAUCCAAAUCAGGUUAUCCUAGACUUUUUAGAAAGCUAAUAUAAUUGUCUACAAUUCAUUUAUAAACAUCCCAGGUUAAUUCAAUAUAUAUCAAGGUCAGAAAACAUGAGAAAGACUCUGCUGUUCAAAUUUGGACAGAUUCAGAGAUCGCACUUCAAACAGCUGUCACUUAACUUAUAGAUCACCAAAAAGGGUGAUCCAAGACUUUUUGGAAAGCUUAAAAAAAGUACUACAAUUAUUCUAUAAUUACUAAGGGUUGAUUCUCAGUUUAGCUUAGCCAAACAGUACAAUUUUUGAAACCUGUACAGAAUUUGGACAGAUUCUAAAACUGGACUUAAGAAAAUCAUAACUCCUAAACUACUAAACCUAUGGUCAUGAAAGUUUUACACAAGUAAGAUAAAGAAGUUACCUACAACUUUUCUAUAUAACAUUUCUACAGAAAACAUGGUUUACUUCAUUGAACUAGCUGCUUACGAAACUGGACAUGCAGUCCCAAACAGCAAGCGUUCCAUUUAGCUCCUAUUUGGUUUUUACAAUUAUCAUGUGCUUGACACUUUCUAAUCGCAUAUAUAGAUUUCUGCUAUUUUAUAACCAUGAAUCCAUUUACUUCACAUAAUCUAGUAUUUUGAACCUACUCUGACAUUAUGCAAACAAAGAAUCAAUUUAAGUACACUAUGCAUACACAUAUAUCCAUCCAAGCACAUUCCAUACAAUAUCAUCACCAAGAACUCAUUUUUAUUACACUAUGCAUAUAAAGUCGCUCUCUCUAUUCACCAAAUAUAUGACAUACAACAUACCAUCACAAGGACAAAAGGGAAAAGAGAGAAACAAGCAUUCCCUGACAACAACCCAUAUUCGCCUAGAACCUUUGAUUAAUCAACAUGAUAGAAGAUAAUGAUGACUAAGACUGAUCUUCAGCUUCAUAAAAUAAUUGGCUAAUUUACUUGCAAUAACACUACCUCCCUUGUGCA